rnacentral:rRNA from 1 species
UACAGAGGGUGCAAGCGUUGUUCGGAAUUACUGGGCGUAAAGCGUGCGCAGGCGGUUAUGCAAGACAGAUGUGAAAUCCCCGGGCUCAACCUGGGAACUGCAUUUGUGACUGCAUGGCUAGAGUACGGUAGAGGGGGAUGGAAUUCCGCGUGUAGCAGUGAAAUGCGUAGAUAUCGAGAGGAACACCAGUGGCGAAGGCGAGUCUCUGGACAUUUCCUGACGCUGAGGCACGAAAGCCAGGGGAGCAAACGGG